GAUCAUGGCUCAGGACGAACGCUGGCGGCGUGCUUAACACAUGCAAGUCGAACGAAGAGCGAUGGAAGCUUGCUUCUAUCAAUCUUAGUGGCGAACGGGUGAGUAACGCGUAAUCAACCCGCCCUUCAGGAGGGGGACAACAGUUGGAAACGACUGCUAAUACCGCAUACGAUCCAAUCUCGGCAUCGAGACUGGAUGAAAGGUGGCCUCUAUUUAUAAGCUAUCACUGAAGGAGGGG
rnacentral:rRNA from 1 species